GACGAACGCUGGCGGCGUGCUUAACACAUGCAAGUCGAACGGAAAGGCCCUGCUUUUGUGGGGUGCUCGAGUGGCGAACGGGUGAGUAACACGUGAGUAACCUGCCCUUGACUUUGGGAUAACUUCAGGAAACUGGGGCUAAUACCGGAUAGGAGCUCCUGCUGCAUGGUGGGGGUUGGAAAGUUUCGGCGGUUGGGGAUGGACUCGCGGCUUAUCAGCUUGUUGGUGGGGUAGUGGCUUACCAAGGCUUUGACGGGUAGCCGGCCUGAGAGGGUGACCGGCCACAUUGGGACUGAGAUACGGCCCAGACUCCUACGGGAGGCAGCAGUGGGGAAUAUUGCACAAUGGGCGGAAGCCUGAUGCAGCGACGCCGCGUGCGGGAUGACGGCCUUCGGGUUGUAAACCGCUUUCGCCUGUGACGAAGCGUGAGUGACGGUAAUGGGUAAAGAAGCAGCGGCUAACUACGCG
rnacentral:rRNA from 1 species